AAAACCCCACGAUGGGGGAAAACAUGUGUCGCGGAAAACAAAGUUUAAACUCCAAAGACAUUGCCAUUCUCAAUGAGACCAAAUAAAUAACCAAAAAUUUCAAAAUUGCAGAAAGAACCAAUCUAAAAACCUGCUCUUUGAAACCAUGAGCGACGUACAAGAAACCAUGGCGCAAAGAACCUGUCGCACAAAACUUUGGUGUUAACCAUUCGUGUUUACUGACUGACAGUCAGCUGCUAUGUCUAUGCUUCCACAUUUUGCAUACAUGUCCACUAGGGCAGUUGCAGCUAUACCAUUUUACAUAAUUCCUUUCCUUCACCUUGUGGUGGAUGUCCAUACCCCGUUCCAAAGCUUCCAUUUAAGCACGGGCAGGGAGGAUGCUGGCAAAGAUUGCGGAGUCUGGCUUUACACCUGCGAAUUACAUUCGAUUGAAAGUUUCUAAAUCCAAUUAAACAAACACAUUUUGUGCAUAUCCUGCAAUCAUAGCAUUCAGCGAAACCACAUUUCUGUGAGGCAUUCUGUCAAACAGUUCACGUGCCUUGUCUACGCUUCCAGAUUUUGCAGAAAUGUCUACUAGAGCAUUUCCAAAUGCCGGGAGUAUGCGUGCAAAUAAAAACUGGGCGGGUCAGAAGCUUGUCUGUUGCAACUUGCAUAAGGAGAUCUUAAGGACGGGAAACAGUUGAAAAAAAAUAAAACUUGCGUGGGCAAACGCGUGGUAGAACACAGGUGGAUGGGAGAAAUGGAUGCGUGAACAGCGGAGGUUUUUUCUGCUUCCUGGGUUCUGCUCAGUGCUCUGCGGGGACAGCUUUGAAGAUGCAUGUGGGGAUGCUCUUUCGACAUCCUUAGAGCAAGGGAACUACUGCUCAUUUUUUUGAAGGAAAUGCGGUUGUUAAAGAAACUUCUCGCAGGAAAAGAGUGGCCUUCUUGAAAUUUGUCACAGUUUAUGGUUGGUUACAAAAGUCUACAUUUGACUUUUGUUUUCCUUGUUUACUAUCUUAAUAUCUUCAAUCAAGUUGUUCUCUCCUAUGAGAGUUAAUCAAUUUUAAUCACAUCCUUUGAUUAUCUUGGCCUUGGAUAAACUCAAAUAGGAACUGGUAAUGAAUGGGAUUUUUUUUGUUAUUGGUUAAGUGUUAAAGAAUAUUUAUAUGAAUCAAUGUAUCAGAAACAGAGCAUGUGACCCAAAUAUGACCUGCAAUAAAUAGGAAUAAAAAAAGCUCAUCCUUUAGUG